AUGCAUUAUUAAACGCAUGCAUGCAUUAUUAAACGCAUGCAGGCAUUACUAAAUGCAGACAUGCAUGCAUGCAUUAUUAAAUGCAUGCAUGCAUUAUUUAAUGCAUGCAUGCAUUAUUAAAUGCAUGCAUGCAU
rnacentral:snoRNA from 1 species